AGCAGCCGCGGUAAUUCCAGCUCCAAUAGCGUAUAUUAAAGUUGUUGCAGUUAAAAAGCUCGUAGUUGAAUUUCGGGAUCAAGUCGUCGGUCGUGCUCAGGUACGUACUGGCGUCAUUGAUUUCUCCCUUCUGACGAACCAUGAUGUCAUUAACUUGGUGUCAUGGGAAAUCAGGACUGUUACUUUGAAAAAAUUAGAGUGUUUAAAGCAGGCUCACGCUUGAAUACAUUAGCAUAGGAAUAAUGAAAUAGGACGUUCGAUCCUAUUUUGUGGUUUUAGGAUCAACGUAAUGAUUAAUAGGGAUAGUUGGGGGCAUUAGUAUUCAAUUGUCAGAGGUGAAAUUC
rnacentral:rRNA from 1 species